CUCUCUCUCUCUCUCGACUUUUUCACUCUUGGACUGUCUUUCACUCUUCUCUCUCACACCUAGCAUUCUCUCACAAAGCUCCAAUACAGCAAGAAGCAUAAUUCUGGAGCCAGUAUUGAAGAACCAGUACAUAAUUUCUACAUAUUGAAUGGGCAAAUAUGCUACAAUGACAUAAACAAAGGAAACAUGCUAAUAAUUUCUAAACUUCAGGAUCCAGCUAGAGGAUUGGUCUGAUCCUUCUUAUAAGUCAGUGCGUUUCUUUUUUGUUGGCAUGGUUUCAGGUAGUUACUUCCUUUCUGCAUUUGAGGGGCCUGUAUCAUUUCAAUACCCUAGUGUUCACAUCAAGUGAAUCAAGCUACUGAAACUACAGGACAUUUGUAACUCUGACCUUGUCGCUGCCUGCUUAUUGGGGUUUUCACAGAUAGACCUAAUGCACCAAAACAGAAAUAUUGGCUCCUCGACCUUCCAUGACUGGAGCCUUGUUUGGUCAAAUUUGGUGUUUCAUCAUCAAAUAGUUGAUUGGAGGAAGAUGGUCCUGCCACAUCAUCUUCAAUAAAAAUACCUUUUUGUUUGUCUACUGAAUUAGGGGAAGAAAGUGAUGAUUUUGAAAAUGAAGAUGAACGAGAACAGUGUGGCACAGAAAUUAUGAGGCACGGCCUGCAUAACACCAUGUACUAGCCCUGAAGCAAAUCUUUUCUUUGCAAA